GGGCGUGUAGCUCAGUGGACAGAGCGUGUGGCUACGAACCACUGUGUCGGGGGUUCGAAUCCCUCCUCGCUCA
rnacentral:tRNA from 1 species